CAAAUCUUCUACAAGCUUCCAGCAAUACUCUGGCUCCUAAACAGUCCGCUGGCUGUUCCAUCCCUCCGGGCUCCGAUCACUUACUUCCUUGCCCUCUCCAAUGGCCACCUCCGCCGCUUCAUACAAGAAGUAUGAAAUCCGGAAACGAGACCCAUAUCCUAAAUCUGCCGCUCUCCUAGUGAUUGACAUGCAGAACCACUUUUCCUCCAUUGCGGAGCCUAUGCUCCCCUCUCUCCGCUCAACCGUUGAUCUCUGUCGCGCUGCCGGUAUCCCCAUCUUUUACACACGACAUCGCCACCGUUCCCCGGAGGACUACGGCAUGCUCGGCGAAUGGUGGCCCGGUGAUCUCAUCAUCGAGGGCACGCCGGCAGCCGAUCUCCUCCCUAACAUCGGCAGGCGCGACGGCGACCGUGUGGUGGAGAAGAACACUUACAGUGCGUUUGCGGGUACUGGGUUGGAAGAGACGCUGAUGGAGCUGAAAGUGGAGGAGGUGAUCGUGACGGGGGUGAUGACGAAUCUCUGCUGUGAGACGACGGCGAGGGAGGCGUUCGUUAAAGGGUUUAGGGUUUUUUUUUCCACCGACGCCACAGGAACCUCGAAUAGGGAUUUGCACGAGGCUACCCUGAAGAAUAUGGCCUAUGGAUUCGCGUAUCUGGUGGAUUGCUCGAGGCUUAAGGCCGCGUUUUCGCCCAAGAGCUGAUUGCUGAACCAGACCUCAUGGGGAUCAUUGGGUGGUAGUAGAUGAGGAUGCUUCCAAGUACAUGGAAUUUAUGACUGAAAGAAAUGAUCUUCAAAAUUCUAGUUCUAAUCAGAUUUAUCUUACUUUGCUUGCUGACAGCACAUUUACUGGUAUUGAUGUUCAAAAAUAUUUCAGGGUAUGCUUGUACAAUGCGAUAUUGAGCUGGUUAAGGUGGCAGGGUAUGCUUUCACAAAGCACUUUGUCUUGAUUAAACAAUACAUGCUUAGUCACUAAAAGAACUUGGAAGCAUUGUACAUCUAAGAACUGGCCCAAAGUUGUUUUCACAUAGCUGCACCAAACGGACAACCAGCUUUCUCGCAGCAGUUUCUUGGGGCAGUGCAGCUGCAGCUGAAAAAGCUGAGAAGCAACAGAGCCUAAGAAUGUCCUUCUCGGCGGCUUAGAUUAUUAUUUUUUAGCUUCUUUUUCAUAUUUUAUAAUAUAAUG